GGCACGAGCGAGUAGGCCGGGGCACGAGAAACCCUGGUUGAAUCCGGCAGGACCACCUGCCAAGGCUAAACAUAAUAUACGAUCGAUAGUGAACAAGUACAGUGAUGGAAAGGUGAAAAGAACCCCGGGAGGGGAGUGAAAUAGAUCCUGAAACUCAGUGCCUACAAGGAGUCGGAGCAUCUUCGGAUGUGACGGCGUGCUUUUUGUAGAACGAUCCAACGAGUUACUCUCAUGUGCGAGGUUAAGUUAAGUAACGGAGCCAUAGUGAAAGCGAGCCUGAAUAGGGCGCAUAAGUACAUGGGAGUAGACCCGAAACCGAGUGACCUAACCAUGGGCAGGCUGAAGCGACGGUAACACGUCGUGAAGGGCCGAACCAGAACACGUUGUAAAGUGUUUGGAUGACCUGUGGUUAGCGGUGAAAUGUCAAUCGAACUCGGAGAUAGCUGGUUCUCCUCGAAAUAGCUUUAGGGCUAGCGUUGCGUGAUAACUUACGGGGGUAGAGCUCUGUAAAGGACUGGGGCCCGCAAGGGUACCCACCCUUAACAAACUACGAAUACCGUAAGUCGUAUCGCAGCAGUCAGAACGUCGGGGCUAAGCUCGGCGCUCGAAAGGGAAACAGCCCAGACCAUCAUCUAAGGUCCCUAAAUAUACGCUCAGUGGGAAACAAGGUGAGAUUUCUUAAACAGCUAGGAUGUUGGCUUAGAAGCAGCCAUUCAUUUAAAGAGUGCGUAACAGCUCACUAGUCAAGAGAUCUUGCGUGGAAAAUGUAACGGGGCUAAAGCGUAUUACCGAAGAUAUGGACUUGCCAGCUUUGCGUUUAUUUGCCUUUGCGAGGCUGUUGGCACCCGAAAGGGCUGUCAACUAAAUUCAUCGCAAGGAUAAAGCAAAUAAAUGGAAAGCUGGCAAGUGGUAGAGGAGCGUUCCUCUCUGCAGUGAAGCAGAAUUGUAAAGUUCUGUGGAGCGUGAGGAAGUGAGAAUGUUGGAAUGAGUAACCAUAAGAAGGGUGAGAAUCCCUUCGGCCGAAAGAGUGAGGUUUCCUAGACUAUGGUAAUCAAUCUAGGGUUAGUCGGGCCUAAGCCGAGGCGCAGAGCGUAGGCGAUGGACAUCAGGUUAAUAUUCCUGGACUAGUAUAACUUUGUACACUGUUCACGGCGAAGUAAUUCGAGCGGAUUCAUGGUAUGUAUCCGUCCAAUUCUUGAGGGAACUUGAGAAGAGUGCGAGCGUCUCCUAACGAGACGCGAGUCGAAUGAGGGCGCUGGCUAGAAAAGCAGAUGUACGCAUGGGUUGUGCUACCCGUACCGCAAACCAACACAGGUACUCAGGUCGAGAAGACCAAGGCUUACGAGAGAACCUUCGCUAAGGAACUCGGCAAUACAGCGACCGUAACUUCGGGAUAAGGUCUGCCUGGGUGUGCCGCAUUGUUUCAAAGUGAAAAAAUGGUAUAUGACGUACCUUUUAUGAUUUUACACGAGUAUUUGAGAUAAUGCGGCACAUCUGGGCCGCAGCAAAAGAGCCCACGGAACUGUUUACCAAAAACACAGGUCUCUGCUAACACGAAAGUGGAUGUAUAGGGGCUGACUCCUGCCCGGUGCCGGAAGGUUAAGGGGAGCGCUUCACGGUGCGAACUGAAGCCCCGGUGAACGGCGGCGGUAACUAUAACCGUCCUAAGGUAGCGAAAUUCCCUUGUCAGGUAAGUUCUGACCCGCACGAAUGNAGUAAUCAUGUGGGCACUGUCUCAGCGAAGGACUCGGUGAAAAUGCAUUGGCGGUAAAGAUGCCGUCUGUCCGUACCAGGACGAGAAGACCCCGUGGAGCUUCACUACAGCUUUGCAUUGAAUCGGGUUAUAACAUGUGUAGCAUAGGUGGGAGCCUUUGAAGCGGAUACGCUAGUAUUUGUGGAGGCACUAGUGAAAUACCACCCCUGUUGUGAUCUUAUUCUCACCUUGACCGUUAUCCGGUUAGGGGACCGUGCAUGGUGGGUAGUUUAACUGGGGCGGUUGCCUCCUAAAGAGUAGCGGAGGCGUUCAAAGGUUGGCUAGCUUCGGAUGGAAAUCGAAGUGAUAGUGUAUGCGCAUAAGCCAGCUUGACUGUGAGGAGCACAUUCCAAUCAGACACGAAAGUGGGAGCAAGUGACCCGCUGUACGUACAUUUAUGUACAUGAAUGUGGGAUCGACAGCGCAAACGGAUAAAAGUUACCCCGGGGGAUAACAGGCUUAUAGCGCCCAAUAGUUCACAUAGACGGCGCUGUUUGGCACCUCGAUGUCGGCUCAUCACAUCCUGGAGGGGGAGCACCUUCCAAGGGUUCGGCUGUUCGCCGAUUAAAGUGGUACGCGAGCUGGGUUCAGAACGUCGUGAGACAGUUCGGUUUAUAUCCGGUACGGACGUUAGGAAAUUUGAGGAGAUCUGUCCCUAGUACGAGAGGACCGGGAUGGACGAACCUCUGGUGUAUCGAUUGUGGCCACCUGCCGCAUUGUCGAGUAGCUAUGUUCGGAAUAGAUAAGCGCUGAAAGCAUAUUAAGCGCGAAACUGACUUCAAGAUCAGACCGCUUAUAUCACAACACUCGAAGCCUUGCUUCA
rnacentral:rRNA from 1 species